rnacentral:rRNA from 1 species
UACGUAGGGGGCAAGCGUUGUCCGGAUUUAUUGGGCGUAAAGAGCGUGUAGGCGGCCUGACAGGUCUGCUGUGAAAACUCGAGGCUCAACCUCGAGAUGUCGGCGGAAACCGUCUGGCUAGAGUCCGGAAGAGGCGAGUGGAAUUCCUGGUGUAGCGGUGAAAUGCGCAGAUAUCAGGAAGAACACCGAUGGCGAAAGCAGCUCUCUGGGACGGUACUGACGCUGAGGCGCGAAAGCGUGGGGAGCGAACAGG